AAUAAUAAUAAUAAUAAUAAUCUUCUCUUGUUUGUUGUAUUGAGGCAUUGAUGAUACGUUUUUGGAGUGAAAAAUCAGACAUUUUUAAGGAAAAUAGUCGAUCUUUGGCUGGGCAACUUUGAGCUUCUCCACAGGUUGUAGCUCUUUUUUGCAGCCAUGGAUGAUUUGUUUCCGUCUGUCUGAGAAAAGGCGAAUCUGAGCCUGCUCUAGAAGAUCUCUCUUUUUUUCCAUGUUGCUGGAUUUCUUUUCCAAGUGUUCUUAUAUAUAUAAUUUCUUUGUCUAUGAACCGAACACAUUAUAACCUACAGGAAUCCAGCUAAUGCUGAGUUUUUGAUUUAAUUAUCCGUUGAAAACUGAUAUCAAUAGCCCACUCUUAAAUCAUUCUCUUAACUAAUUUACUUGCUACUGAUUUCUCAAGAAAUGGAAUAAGAUAUUAUGGCAACAACAUGAACUCAACAGGUUGAAGAGUUUUAAGUUUCAGGUCAUUUUUUCCAUGCUGCUUACUACUGCUGACUAAUAUAACAUAAAGAUUAAACCCAACAGACAAGUAGCCAGCAGAGAACGACCCAAACCAGCUAUUGAAGGAGAUUUUGGCUUAGUGCUUGGACCAGGGCUGCUACUAGCGACUUUGGCUACCGCUGGUAGUGGUGGGUCAACAACAUCUUCAACGUCGAGGGCUGGAGAAGGGGCAGCUACUGGUGGUUGAGUACCAUCAGGAAGGAACUGAGUUAGAUAUGGUAGUUGAAUAGUUGCUGGAUACUCCGUGAUGAUCCCACUAACGUUGAAGGGAGCAAAAGUAGCAAUUUCUAAAGUUGGAUCAGAGAGGAAAUCAAAUGCAAGACUAAAAAAUUCAUUCCUCAUGACAGAGACGUAUACGGUUAGAUUGGCUUUUUGCAGUUCGGCUACAACUUGGGUAGCAGCUUUAGCAAGGCCUUGGUGUACUGGAACGAUGGAUUGUCUUGGAACAUUAACUGCAUUAGCGAACUUCUUGAUUUCAUCUACAGACUUCGCCGGUGCAUCACCUAUGUCUUUUUUAAGGGAAAACACUCUUUCAUAUGCAGUAACAUUCUGAAAUUUGGACAACACUGAAGUGUCGUCUGAUUGGAUUAAGACUAUUUGUGCGGACUGCUUAUCAAAAGAGGCAUUGCUCAAGGCAACGCUAACUGCACCUACUAUGUCAAGACCCUUCUUUGAAGCUAGGGUUUCUUGGAUACUUGUCACCGUUUGCAAAAGGGCUUCCCAAUUGAGCUGGGAUAAGGGAGAUGCACUGUAAGAGGGAUUUCCAGAAACAUUAAGCAAAUGCAUGCAGGGAAAGCAGUGAAGAAGCCUUACGUUUCAAUGUCUGAAUUUCACUCCAUGUGAGAUCAAAAGAAAAGAUUCCGGCAUUCGGUUGAAUUUCAGGGAUAGUGGCAGAUCGGGCUGAGAAGGUAGUUGUUGCGGUAGUGUCUGUUGUAAGAUCUGCAGAACCCAUACAGAAUGCCGUCCCAUCUUUUGUCAUUUGAGCUGAGCAAUCUAUUAUGUCAGCCCCAUCAUUUAAUGCUUGUUGAUAAGCAAGAUCUGUGCUGUUAGAAUAAACUCCACUUGCUCCAUUGUGAGAUAUGAUCAAAGGUCUACCUGCACAGGAACAGCAUUUUUGUGCAUGGCAAAACAGUUUUUCUACCGCUAGAUUAGCUCCAGUACGUUAGAAUAGGAACUUACCCGCCUUAGUAAAGUUUAGAUUACUGAAAUGUGCAAAGCAUGCUGCACCAGAGGGAACCUUACGAGGGUUAGAUCAGAAGUUGGCAUAGUUCGGCAAAACUAAAUUAUCCAGAUGAACAAUUUGAGUUGUUUUUCACAACCCCUUUGUUUAGAUACAUAUUGGUGAGAAAAUGACAGAUGAAUAUAGAGAAUUGAUCAUAUUACCAAGAGCUGAUGAUGCUGUGGGAGGAAAAUCUGAAACCACCCCAUCAACAGAAAACUGCGGAUUAUUGAUAAAUUGCAAGUACUCAGAUAUAGGGUCAUAAGUAUAAUUAUAGACUGUAGCCAAGUCAUUUGCAAAGCCAGUAGCAUGUACUUCAAGACCCAGUUUAUGAGCAUCAAGGACAAGAGUUGUGGAGCUCUCCAAAUAGUUGUCUUUGUUUACAGGCCAUAUGUAAUUUUUUGGGACAGCAAUCCCAGAUGCGAAUGUCUUGACUGUGGCAAGAUCUUCCAAUAUUGAACCAUAUGUUUUGCUGGUCGAGGGUUCAAUUGCAUCUUUUUCAAGGAAAACGAAAAUGAGUUUAGUCUUGGGGUUGGUCGCUUUUCCUUUCAUUGCCUUCAAGAAACCAAUCUCAGGAGAUGAGAUAUAAUUGACAAGCCGAAAAAUUCUUUCCUUUUGAAUAUAUGAUGCCACAUUUAGUUUGUGUUCAUUGUAGAACAUAUAAUUCUGCAGUUAAACAAAAUCUUAAUUCUUCUAUAUUCCUUGGAAAUUCUUGAAAUUGAAAAGUGAUGCUGCAAGUACCUGAACAUUCAACCAAUAUGAUUGGAUUUGAGCUCGGAAAAUAUCAUCAACGGUAAGUAUGGGAAAUUUAUUGUCAAACAAUUUUGGCCGAUUUGAUAUACUUUGCUUCACUGUAUAUUCAUAAACAUAACAGAUGUUUUAAAGAAGAGACAGUACAAGAAAAGGAAAACUGAAAUGAGAUUUGUGAGACUUACCUGUUACAUUGGCACUUAGCUGGGCCAUUGUAAAAUCCACAGAAAACCACCCCUUAACAUCCUUGCCAUUUAUUUUGUAGGUUUUGGCUUGAUCUGGGUAGAUCAUGUCUAUAUUUGUUGAAGCUUCAAGGGUGAUGUUUUCCUGGCAUAAUCCAAGGCCAUCUUUUGUUAGUUGUAAAUUGCAGAGCAUAACCAUCUCUCUUAAGCUUGAAUCCCUUCCAAUAUUAAGUGCUAAGCUAGAGGAUUCUGGGAAAACCCCUGAAAGCCCACCUCUAGCAAUUACAGCAGGCGGCUGACCUGCAUAUAAAUGCAUUUACAGAAUCAAAAUUUACAGAUCAUAUACCAAGUUUCAAAAUUUAGAAGGCUAUAAAAUCCUGCUACCAUUUAGAGUUAGCCAUUUCUUGUUAACUGCUGGAACUUCUUUUGAUUCUGAAGAAUGGAUCAACAAGGAAAUGAGAAGCAAACACCUGAUCAUUCUCUUCAUAUCCUGUUACACACUGCCACACAAUGAUUAAUAGAAUGAACAAAGCA
rnacentral:misc_RNA from 1 species